AAAAGUAUCCUGGGAAACCUGGGGAUUGAGCUCACAGAGAAGGAAAAAGAGAAGCUGCUGGAAACACUGACAACUGAUGCUGCUGGAAAAAUUAAUCUCGGUAGAUUGCUGAAGAGUAUGAAGUCUCUCCAAGCGGGGAAGGUUCAUAUAAAUAACCUGGACAAUACUCUAGAAAGAUUUGGAAUUGAGCUCACAGAAGAGGAAC